rnacentral:hammerhead_ribozyme from 2 species
GUAUUGCUGAGGAGUCUCAUAAUAGGACGAAACGGCCGUCCAGUGC